UGAUGAAGAAGGUGGGGCUGCCCUGGCUGCUUUGGAGAACCACCCAGAUUCCAGAUUCCCACUGCUCCCACCGAAGGCCUGCUUGAAGAGCUUCCCAGCUGGAGCGUAGAAGAAGAAGCCCCAACCCUCUCCAAGGUGGAUGCAGAAGGGAACAAAAAGCCCCCCCCCUUUUUUUUAUCAACAUCUACUUUUACAGGACUACUGUGACCAAUGA